rnacentral:rRNA from 1 species
GAAACCCGGUGAUCUAGCCAUGGGCAGGUUGAAGGUUGGGUAACACUAACUGGAGGACCGAACCGACUAAUGUUGAAAAAUUAGCGGAUGACUUGUGGCUGGGGGUGAAAGGCCAAUCAAACCGGGAGAUAGCUGGUUCUCCCCGAAAGCUAUUUAGGUAGCGCCUCGUGAAUUCAUCUCCGGGGGUAGAGCACUGUUUCGGCAAGGGGGUCAUCCCGACUUACCAACCCGAUGCAAACUGCGAAUACCGGAGAAUGUUAUCACGGGAGACACACGGCGGGUGCUAACGUCCGUCGUGAAGAGGGAAACAACCCAGACCGCCAGCUAAGGUCCCAAAGUCAUGGUUAAGUGGGAAACGAUGUGGGAAGGCCCAGACAGCCAGGAUGUUGGCUUAGAAGCAGCCAUCAUUUAAAGAAAGCGUAAUAGCUCACUGGUCGAGUCGGCCUGCGCGGAAGAUGUAACGGGGCUAAACCAUGCACCGAAGCUGCGGCAGCGACACUAUGUGUUGUUGGGUAGGGGAGCGUUCUGUAAGCCUGUGAAGGUGGCCUGUGAGGGUUGCUGGAGGUAUCAGAAGUGCGAAUGCUGACAUAAGUAACGAUAAAGCGGGUGAAAAGCCCGCUCGCCGGAAGACCAAGGGUUCCUGUCCAACGUUAAUCGGGGCAGGGUGAGUCGACCCCUAAGGCGAGGCCGAAAGGCGUAGUCGAUGGGAAACAGGUUAAUAUUCCUGUACUUGGUGUUACUGCGAAGGGGGGACGGAGAAGGCUAUGUUGGCCGGGCGACGGUUGUCCCGGUUUAAGCGUGUAGGCUGGUUUUCCAGGCAAAUCCGGAAAACCAAGGCUGAGGCGUGAUGACGAGGCACUACGGUGCUGAAGUGACAAAUGCCCUGCUUCCAGGAAAAGCCUCUAAGCAUCAGGUAACAUCAAAUCGUACCCCAAACCGACACAGGUGGUCAGGUAGAGAAUACCAAGGCGCUUGAGAGAACUCGGGUGAAGGAACUAGGCAAAAUGGUGCCGUAACUUCGGGAGAAGGCACGCUGAUAUGUAGGUGAAGCGACUUGCUCGUGGAGCUGAAAUCAGUCGAAGAUACCAGCUGGCUGCAACUGUUUAUUAAAAACACAGCACUGUGCAAACACGAAAGUGGACGUAUACGGUGUGACGCCUGCCCGGUGCCGGAAGGUUAAUUGAUGGGGUUAGCGGUAACGCGAAGCUCUUGAUCGAAGCCCCGGUAAACGGCGGCCGUAACUAUAACGGUCCUAAGGUAGCGAAAUUCCUUGUCGGGUAAGUUCCGACCUGCACGAAUGGCGUAAUGAUGGCCAGGCUGUCUCCACCCGAGACUCAGUGAAAUUGAACUCGCUGUGAAGAUGCAGUGUACCCGCGGCAAGACGGAAAGACCCCGUGAACCUUUACUAUAGCUUGACACUGAACAUUGAGCCUUGAUGUGUAGGAUAGGUGGGAGGCUUUGAAGUGUGGACGCCAGUCUGCAUGGAGCCGACCUUGAAAUACCACCCUUUAAUGUUUGAUGUUCUAACGUUGGCCCGUAAUCCGGGUUGCGGACAGUGUCUGGUGGGUAGUUUGACUGGGGCGGUCUCCUCCUAAAGAGUAACGGAGGAGCACGAAGGUUGGCUAAUCCUGGUCGGACAUCAGGAGGUUAGUGCAAUGGCAUAAGCCAGCUUGACUGCGAGCGUGACGGCGCGAGCAGGUGCGAAAGCAGGUCAUAGUGAUCCGGUGGUUCUGAAUGGAAGGGCCAUCGCUCAACGGAUAAAAGGUACUCCGGGGAUAACAGGCUGAUACCGCCCAAGAGUUCAUAUCGACGGCGGUGUUUGGCACCUCGAUGUCGGCUCAUCACAUCCUGGGGCUGAAGUAGGUCCCAAGGGUAUGGCUGUUCGCCAUUUAAAGUGGUACGCGAGCUGGGUUUAGAACGUCGUGAGACAGUUCGGUCCCUAUCUGCCGUGGGCGCUGGAGAACUGAGGGGGGCUGCUCCUAGUACGAGAGGACCGGAGUGGACGCAUCACUGGUGUUCGGGUUGUCAUGCCAAUGGCACUGCCCGGUAGCUAAAUGCGGAAGAGAUAAGUGCUGAAAGCAUCUAAGCACGAAACUUGCCCCGAGAUGAGUUCUCCCUGAGACUUAGAGUCUCCUGAAGGAACGUUGAAGACGACGACGUUGAUAGGCCGGGUGUGUAAGCGCAGCGAUGCGUUGAGCUAACCGGUACUAAUGAACCGUGAGGCUUAACCUUACAACGCCGAAG